rnacentral:rRNA from 1 species
UACGAAGGGGGCUAGCGUUGUUCGGAUUUACUGGGCGUAAAGCGCGUGUAGGCGGGCUGGAAAGUUGGGGGUGAAAUCCCGAGGCUCAACCUCGGAACUGCCUCCAAAACUUCCAGCCUGGAGCAAGAUAGAGGCAAGUGGAAUUGCGAGUGUAGAGGUGAAAUUCGUAGAUAUUCGCAGGAACACCGGUGGCGAAGGCGGCCUUCUGGACAGAUACUGACGCUGAGACGCGAAAGCGUGGGGAGCAAACAGG